rnacentral:rRNA from 1 species
AGAGUUUGAUCCUGGCUCAGAACGAACGUUGGCGGCGUGCUUAACACAUGCAAGUCGAACGAGAACGGUUUCUUCGGAAACUCAGUAAAGUGGCGCACGGGUGAGUAACGCGUAAGUAAUCUACCCUUGCAUUUGGGAUAACUACGGGAAGCUGUAGCUAAUACCGAAUACGUUCUCCUUUCUACGGAUUGGAGAAGAAAGAUGGCCUCUUCUUGAAAGCUAUCGUGCAGGGAGGAGCUUGCGUACCAUUAGCUAGUUGGUAGGGUAAAGGCCUACCAAGGCGACGAUGGUUAGCGGGUCUGAGAGGAUGAUCCGCCACACUGGAACUGGAACACGGACCAGACUCCUACGGGAGGCAGCAGUGAGGAAUAAUGCGCAAUGGGGGAAACCCUGACGCAGCGACACCGCGUGGAUGAUGAAGGCCUUAGGGUCGUAAAAUCCUGUCAGAUGGGAAGAAAUGCAUAUCUAUUAAUACUAUUUAUGUUUGACGGUACCAUCAAAG